UAGGGAAUCUUCCGCAAUGGACGCAAGUCUGACGGAGCAACGCCGCGUGAGUGAAGAAGGAUUUCGGUUCGUAAAGCUCUGUUGUUAAGGAAGAACGAGUGUGAGAAUGGAAAGUUCAUGCUGUGACGGUACUUAACCAGAAAGGGACGGCUAACUACGUGCCAGCAGCCGCGGUAAUACGUAGGUCUCGAGCGUUGUCCGGAUUUAUUGGGCGUAAAGCGAGCGCAGGCGGUUAGAAAAGUCUGAAGUGAAAGGCAGUGGCUCAACCAUUGUAGGCUUUGGAAACUGGUUAACUUGAGUGCAGAAGGGGAGAGUGGAAUUCCAUGUGUAGCGGUGAAAUGCGUAGAUAUAUGGAGGAACACCGGUGGCGAAAGCGGCUCUCUGGUCUGUAACUGACGCUGAGGCUCGAAAGCGUGGGGAGCGAACAGG
rnacentral:rRNA from 1 species